rnacentral:rRNA from 1 species
AUUGAACGCUGGCGGCAUGCUUUACACAUGCAAGUCGAACGGUAACAGGCCUUCGGGUGCUGACGAGUGGCGAACGGGUGGGUAAUGCAUCGGAACGUACCCAGAGGUGGGGGAUAACGCAGCGAAAGCUGUGCUAAUACCGCAUGUGAUCUGAGGAUGAAAGCGGGGGACCGAGCAGCAAUGUUUGGCCUCGCGCCUUUGGAGCGGCCGAUGUCGGAUUAGCUAGUUGGUGGGGUAAAGGCCUACCAAGGCGACGAUCCGUAGCUGGUCUGAGAGGACGGCCAGCCACACUGGGACUGAGACACGGCCCAGACUACUACGGGAGGCAGCAGUGGGGAAUUUUGGACAAUGGGCGCAAGCCUGAUCCAGCAAUGCCGCGUGCGGGAAGAAGGCCUUCGGGUUGUAAACCGCUUUUGGCAGGAACGAAACGGUGUCCGCUAAUACCGGGCGCUAAUGACGGUACCUGCAGAAUAAGCACCGGCUAACUACGUG